UACACUUUAAAUCCUUUAACGAGUACCAAUUGGAGGGCAAGUCUGGUGCCAGCAGCCGCGGUAAUUCCAGCUCCAAUAGCGUAUAUUAAAGUUGUUGCGGUUAAAAAGCUCGUAGUUGGAUCUGUGUUCCACGCUGUCGGUUCGCCGUCCGUCGGUGUUAACUGGCAUGUCCUGUGGAACGUCCUGCCGGUGGCGGUACGGGCUCUCGGUUCCUGUGUAGAGACCAAAAUCUCGAAGCAGACCGAACAGUUCCGGCCGCCGGUUCAUAUCCCGCCACGGUGCUCUUAAACGAGUGUCGAGGUGGGCCGGCACGUUUACUUUGAACAAAUUAGAGUGCUUAAAGCAGGCUGGUGUCCGCCUGAAUACUGUGUGCAUGGAAUAAUGGAAUAGGACCUCGGUUCUAUUUUGUUGGUUUUCGGAACCCGAGGUAAUGAUUAAUAGGGACAGGCGGGGGCAUUCGUAUUGCGGCGUUAGAGGUGAAAUUCUUGGAUCGUCGCAAGACGAACCUAAGCGAAAGCAUUUGCCAAGUAUGUCCUCGUUAAUCAAGAACGAAAGUUAGAGGUUCGAAGGCGAUCAGAUACCGCCCUAGUUCUAACCAUAAACGAUGCCAGCCAGCGAUCCGCCGAAGUUCCUCCGAUGACUCGGCGGGCAGCUUCCGGGAAACCAAAGCUUUUGGGUUCCGGGGGAAGUAUGGUUGCAAAGCUGAAACUUAAAGGAAUUGACGGAAGGGCACCACCAGGAGUGGAGCCUGCGGCUUAAUUUGACUCAACACGGGAAACCUCACCAGGCCCGGACACCGGAAGGAUUGACAGAUUGAGAGCUCUUUCUUGAUUCGGUGGGUGGUGGUGCAUGGCCGUUCUUAGUUGGUGGAGCGAUUUGUCUGGUUAAUUCCGAUAACGAACGAGACUCUAGCCUGCUAACUAGGCGAUUUCCGGUACCCUCUUUAGUGUUACCGGCGAUUCAAUUUCUUCUUAGAGGGACAGGCGGCUCCUAGCCGCACGAGACUGAGCAAUAACAGGUCUGUGAUGCCCUUAGAUGUCCUGGGCAGCACGCGCGCUACACUGAAGGAAUCAGCGUGUCCUCCCUGGCCGACAGGCCCGGGUAACCCGUUGAACCUCCUUCGUGCUAGGGAUUGGGGCUUGCAAUUGUUCCCCAUGAACGAGGAAUUCCCAGUAAGCGCGAGUCAUAAGCUCGCGUUGAUUACGUCCCUGCCCUUUGUACACACCGCCCGUCGCUACUACCGAUUGAAUGAUUUAGUGAGGUCUUCGGACUGGUGCGCGGCGGUCGGUCCCGCUGGCCGCCGAUGUUGCCGGAAAGAUGACCAAACUUGAUCAUUUAGAGGAAGUAAAAGUCGUAACAAGGUUUCCGUAGGUGAACCUGCGGAAG
rnacentral:rRNA from 1 species